UCAGGCCUAACACAUGCAAGUCGAACGGCAGCACGGGUGCUUGCACCUGGUGGCGAGUGGCGAACGGGUGAGUAAUAUAUCGGAACGUAUCCAAUAAUGGGGGAUAACUAAUCGAAAGGUUGGCUAAUACCGCAUACGCCCUACGGGGGAAAGCUGGGGACCUUCGGGCCUGGCGUUAAUGGAGCGGCCGAUAUCUGAUUAGCUAGUUGGUGAGGUAAGAGCUCACCAAGGCGACGAUCAGUAGCUGGUCUGAGAGGACGACCAGCCACACUGGAACUGAGACACGGUCCAGACUCCUACGGGAGGCAGCAGUGGGGAAUUUUGGACAAUGGGCGCAAGCCUGAUCCAGCCAUUCCGCGUGAGUGAAGGAGGCCUUCGGGUUGUAAAGCUAUUGCGCAAGGGAAGAAAACUUACCCUCUAACAUAGGGUGAGGUGAC
rnacentral:rRNA from 1 species